CUGUGUAAAAUGACUCAUAACACUCUGAUUGGUGGAUUAAGUAACCAAUCAGAGUGUUAUGAGUCAUUUUACACAG